GAUGAAGAACGUAGCGAAAUGCGAUACGUAAUGUGAAUUGCAGAAUUCAGUGAAUCAUCGAAUCUUUGAACGCAUAUUGCGCUCUCUGGUGUUCCGGAGAGCAUGCUUGUUUGAGUAUCAGUAAACACCUCAACUUCCAUAUCUUUUUUGAAAUGGGAGUUGGACUUGAGUGAUCCCAACGCUUUUCCUCACCGAAAAGUGGCGGGUUACUUGAAAUGCAGGUGCAGCUGGACUUUUCUCUGAGCUAUAAGCAUAUCUAUUUAGUCUGCCUAAAAAACAGAUUAUUACCUUUGCUGCAGCUAACAUAAAGGAGAUUAGUUCUUGUGCUGACUGAUGCAGGAUUCACAAAGACGGCUUCGGCCGACUUUGUAAACUCGAUCUCAAAUCAAGUAAGACUACCCGCUGAACUUAAGCAUAUCAAUAAGCGGAGGA
rnacentral:misc_RNA from 1 species